rnacentral:lncRNA from 1 species
GCUCCCAGUGGAAGCAGAAGAUAGCUAUGAAGUGUCAGAAGUCUUCUUGAAGACAGAGGUUCACCAACCUGGUUGUAAAGCUGCUUGGUUUUCAGUGAAGGCCUUGCUGAUGCUCACAAUAAACAAAAUUCACUUUGAAAGAGGCAUUCCUUCAUACAGAAAAAAUCAAUUGCCUUUUAAAUUGAAUUUAUUUCUAUUAAAAUGUCAUUUCUAAGGUCACUGACAGCUGUUCUCAGAGACAGGACGUUGACCUCAGACUGGGAAGCUCCAAGAUUUGCAGUGAUGCCAUAUGGAAAUAUUUCACCAGAGACCGCUGAGAGCCUUCCAGUGCCUCCCUGAGACUCUGUCCUCUACCCAGGAAGGCAAAAACAUUCUCCUGCAGUUGGAUGGGGAAGAACCAGAGCUGCUCAGCUACUGAAGCCCAGACAACCAUAGGAUUUACUUCUUCUGAAGACCCAGUGGUGCACACAAAGAAAUACAAGUGUGGAUUUAGACAUCUACGAAGCUCUGAACUCUGCUCCUGCCGAGAGGAAAUCAUUACCCACAUCAGUUCCCUGAAAGGGGAGGGCGCCGGGCAGGAGAAGCACAAACACCACGGAAAAACCCUAAAGCGCUUGUUAUGAAUAAAAUGUCUAGCCCAGCUUUAAUCAUGGAACAGAAUGGCUCACAACAACAUAGGACUCCUGUUUAUGAUACGGACAGACACUUUUUUCCCCCCAGGAGAGUUUUAUUUUAGGUGAUAAAAACAAGGAGAAAACACUGAAAAAGUCAGGGGAAAGUAACAGGCUCCUCAGCAGCACAAGUGCCAGUUUGCACCUGGGCAGUGUGGAGAAGAAAAGGAGCUUCACAGUGGCCUGACCUUUUUAAAGCUUCCCUUCCGUUCCCAAAUGCGGGCUUAGCUGGUUGUCCGAAAUGAGCUGCUUGGAGAAGCCCAGAGAGACUGCUGAACCAGGAAAAGGGCACGCGGGUGGCUGGCUAGGGGCAGUAUUGCCCUUGGGUGCUCCCUAUGCAGACAGUGAGAGAGAGGGGGACCAUCUGAUGGGGUGAUGGCACCCACCCGCUGCUUGGCCACAGACUCCUCUCUGCAGGGAAAUUUUCAGUGAUUUUCUUCCUAGCACUGCUACAGGCCAUGGAGCUGCCACACGUGAUGUCAGGGGACACCAAUUCCCUUCCUUUUCAUGAAAGGCUGAAGGGGAAUAUUUAAGCCAUCAUGACUGACACAGAAGCCAAGGCUGUGCCAAAAGCACCACCUUGACAAUCUUUUCCACUCUCUCCUUUCAGAACAGUCAAGCAAACUCUUCCUCCCAGAAAUCGCCUGAAAUU